CUGCACACGGCUGUAUACUCCGUCAUCCUCCCUCCCUCUCUCCUUGUAACACCUCUUCCUCUCUCUGUCACGAAGAGAAAAGCACAGCUUGACGCCACAAGUGACAAGACGCACAACAGCACACAACAAAGUCGGCGCGCGUGCCAUUUUUCCGCACCAAGAAAGCCGCGCACACGCAGCCCAUCCGUGUUCGAGCUCCUCCUCUGCUGAGAGACUUUGUAGAACGCAAGAAUUCUGCCAUCAUUCCUUGCAUUCUUUUUUUUUGCUUGUUAUUUCGUUUAUUUUUGGAUUGCUCAUAUCUGUUCCCGCCUCUGCCUCUGCACCCUCCCUCUCCAUCGAUCCGGUGGUUCCUCACUGUGUUUUCUCCUGCCUUUCCUUUUCUUUCUACCUCUCUUUCUCUUCUCUGCCAUCUUCGUUGGUUCGGUUUGGCUUCUCUCUGUGAGCGUCUGUGCCUGAGAGAGUGCGCUAUCGGCUGCCCUCUCCUUCCGUCUACGCCUCGCUCGCUGUCUCUCUCUCUCCCCUUCGCUUCGCUUCUCUGCUUAACAUCUUCACGUUACUUCAUCCUUCUGUUUUUCUUUCCCCCUUCCCCUUCGGCCCGUCCGCAUCCCCCGCACCUCCGUUGCGCCUCUGCGGGUCUUCACGGUCUCUCGUAAGUGUUUUAUGUCGUUUUUGAUUGCGGCGGCCCCUCCCUCUCUCUCUCUCUCUCGCACUGCUCACAUCUGUGGCGUCUUUUAUUUCCUCUCGGGCGUUGCCUCAUCUUGCCAGGUAAAGAGCCCUUUUUAUGGGCGCGAGUAUUUUCCUCUUUCUUCCGUUCUCUUUCCGCCGCUGCUGCGCCCCGCCCCCUCCCCACCUCCCCACCGCCGCUUCGGUGGAACUCUGUCCAUCGGUGCGUCAUCGUCGCGCGUGACUACGGCUUCGCGUCGUUGUUCUUGAUUGCAUGCUGUCUCUUUCACGGCCUCUCGCCUUUGCUCUCUAGACCCCUCCCGUAAAGGUGGGCCCGCGCACUCAUGACCAGCCCGGACAGCAUGGUUGCUGCCAGUGUGUACGCACGUAGGCCAAAAGGGGUUCGGGUCCCAGCAGGUCUCAACCCGUACAAGCUUGUUGCGUGCGACAUGGAUGGCACGCUGCUCAACAGUAAGCACUCUAUCUCCGACUACACCCGCACCGUCCUGUCGCAGCUGCUGGCGCGUGGUGUGCACAUCAUCUUCGCCACGGGCCGCCCGUUCACGGAUGUCUAUCGCAUUAAGCGCCGCCUUAAUAUCUUCGCGGCCACGAAGCUCAUCCCGACGCCGGGUUUGCAGGUGGUCACGCCUGUAGAGCCCUCGCCGACCUCGCGCUACCCAUCCGGCUCGCCGAACAGCAGCUCUCACAGCGUCUUGCCGCCAACCCCGUCCUCGACCUGCUCGGGGACAGGAGCGAACGAGACGGAGAAGAUCGUCCCACGCUGCUUCGCUAUCACGUCUAACGGGGCAUGCAUCUACAACGAAGCGAACGAACGCAUCUACGAGCGCACCAUCGAUCCGCGCCUGGUGCAGGAGCUCUACUCGAUGUUCAUGGAUGACCCCGAGGUGAACAUCAACGUCUUCCGCGGCGUCGACGAGGCGGACCGGCAGCAGCAGGGAUACACAAACCCAAGUGACCAGCCGGACGACAAGGCCAGCGAGGAGUGGAUCUGCCGGUACCCGAGCGACCUCGAGGCAGCGCUCUACAAGGAGUCGCGAUUCACCUUUCGCGUUGUCUCUAACCUGGAAAAGACAUUCCCAGUGGACCGCGUGAGCGAGAUCUUCUUUCUCUGCUACAACCCCGAGAAGAGCUCUGUGGUGGAGUCCGACAUUAGCAAGCGAAUGAAGGAGCUGACGGAUGAGCUGAAGCUGGAGACGUCCGUUCGCGUGGCCCCGUCUGCGACGUACUGCCUCGACAUCGUUCCGUCCGACGUCAGUAAAGCGUCGGCUCUGCAGCAUGUUCUCGACAAGCUUGACUUGACGAUGAACGACUGCAUCGCCUUUGGUGACGGCCUCAACGACGUGGAGCUCCUGUCCUCGGUGGGGAAGGGGUUUAUCAUGGAGAACGGCAACCCACGAUUAAAGAAGAAGCUGCCGCACCUUGAGGUGAUUGGCCGGAAUGACGACGACGCCGUCGCCCGAAAGCUCAGCGAAAUCUUCGACAUCCGCGUGGAGCCUGGUGACAUUGAAAACCCCCUGAGCUCUUCUACGUGACGGAGUGAACCGGCGAAGACGCCGCACAGACAGGCAGAUAUUAGAGGCGCAGAGAUGAGAAAUGGCGGCGUGAGGGGGGGGCAGCAUAGGGUCUCUCCGUGAGCACGCCCCUUACCAUUCUCCUUCCCCUCUCGACGAACACGUGCUUGCAUCGGCAUCCCUGGCUCUGCUGGUCUGUUGUUUCCACUGCGUCUUUUUCCUUUCCCUUGAACUUCGCAG
rnacentral:misc_RNA from 1 species